GGAGAAGAAGAAGGGACCAGAGAAAAAGAGGAAGGAUAUUUGCCCUGAGGGACAAAGGCCUGCUCCUGGAUAUAGGGUCUACAGGCAAUGAGCACCCGGACAAUUUGUGCCUCAGACAAACGGGAAGCAUUUCAUGCACUUACGAUUUGGAAAGGGUGACCAUACAACAUACCCUCAAAACUGAUCACACCAACAUCAUCACUGUCCUUAGACUGGAGGCAGAUGGAGACGUGGACUCUAAAGCCCAGGUUCAGCAUCGCGGGAGGCAGAAAACCCAGACUUCCCUCCGGGAACUGUGAUGGAUUCAAGUCCAAGGAAGUCCUCCAGCUAAGUCUGUUGUAACUUGGAUGUCUGGUCUGGAGCCCCAAUCUAAAAUCGAUGCUUUAUUAAAAUUUUUAUUAUCCUC
rnacentral:sRNA from 1 species